AUUGAACGCUGGCGGCAGGCCUAACACAUGCAAGUCGAACGGUAACAGGAAGCAGCUUGCUGCUUUGCUGACGAGUGGCGGACGGGUGAGUAAUGUCUGUGAAACUGCCCGAUGGAGGGGGAUAACUACUGGAAACGGUAGCUAAUACCGCUUAACGUCGCAAGACAAAAGAGGGGGACCUUAGGGCCUCUUGCCAUCGGCUGUGCCCAGAUGGGAUUAGCUAGUAGGUGGGGUAACGGCUCACCUAGGCGACGAUCCCUAGCUGGUCUGAGAGGAUGACCAGCCACACUGGAACUGAGACACGGUCCAGACUCCUACGGGAGGCAGCAGUGGGGAAUAUUGCACAAUGGGCGCAAGCCUGAUGCAGCCAUGCCGCGUGUAUGAAGAAGGCCUUCGGGUUGUAAAGUACUUUCAGCGGGGAGGAAGGGAGUAAAGUUAAUACCUUUGCUCAUUGACGUUACCCGCAGAAGAAGCACCGGCUAACUCCGUG
rnacentral:rRNA from 1 species